AAGUCGUAACAAGGUUUCCGUAGGUGAACCUGCGGAAGGAUCAUUAAAGAGAUAGGGUCUUCAUGGCCCGACCUCCAACCCUCUGUUGUUAAAACUACCUUGUUGCUUUGGCGGGACCGUCUCGGUCUCCGAGCGCACUAACCCUCGGGUUGGUGAGCGCCCGCCAGAGUCCAACCAAACUCUUGUAUUAAACCAGUCGUCUGAGUAUAAAAUUUUAAUUAAAUUAAAACUUUCAACAACGGAUCUCUUGGUUCUC
rnacentral:misc_RNA from 1 species